rnacentral:rRNA from 1 species
AAGGGCCUACGGGACGCAGCAGUGGGGAAUAUUGGACAAUGGGGGGAACCCUGAUCCAGCGACGCCGCGUGAGUGAAGAAGUAUUUCGGUAUGUAAAGCUCUAUCAGCAGGGAAGAGAGAAAUGACGGUACCUGACUAAGAAGCCCCGGCUAACUACGUGCCAGCAGCCGCGGUAAUACGUAGGGGGCAAGCGUUAUCCGGAUUUACUGCGUGUAAAGGGAGCGUAGACGGCGAUGCAAGUCUGAAGUGAAAGGCGGGGGCCCAACCCACGGACUGCUUUGGAAACUGUAUGGCUGGAGUGCAGG